AGUAGUUGUUGUGUGGUACGCGCGUCGGAACGAACGUCCGACGACGUCUCAAUUCUUGUCGAAAUUGUGUUAAGUGCCCCUUUAAUCAAAAGUUCGCUGACGCAUGAAAUGGAUGUGCUCGCCGGCGGCCAGAGGAACCAAAGCUGGAGCCAAGCGUGUUAGAAGCAUUUCAAGAGCGUAGACCGACGGCCACAUUUAGUGUAGACACAGAAUAUACGGCCACAGAAUGACACCAGCUCCGGGCGAACAUCUCAAGUUCAAGACGACACGCCACAAAAGCGGGCUUGUCCUGGCAAUAUGCAGUCUCAGCGUGUUUAUGUCCGGCUUUGCCCUGACCACGCUAAUAAGUCCAACUCACGCAGACGAGGGAAACGCCGAGGUGUGGCGCGUGGCCACCGCCCACGAGAAGCUCGGGCAGCUACAUUUCUCCACGGCUGAAUUUACCGAAUACAAAUCAAAGGCCAACUAUACCAAAGAGCCGAAAUACUCCACUAAAGCCAUGGAUCCCGUGUACAAUUUUACGCGCUACUUCUUUGGUUUUAUCCUGCCGGAUGAGGCCGCCAUUCCGCCAGGCUACGUGGUCGUCAAGGACGGCAAUUAUUUGGCCUUGGGCCCGAAGGUGGAGAACAAUGACUGGCGCGAUCUGCUGACUCAGUACUGGAUGGUGCUUAUCGCGGUUGUUAUCCUGGCUAUCCUGGCAGUCAUCAUGCCCAUUAUAGCCGUCUGCUAUUGCUGCUUCUGCUGCUGUCGACGCUGCAAAGAAGGAUGCCCGCCCUGCGACAGUCAGAAAGACGCUCGCAGGCGCUGCUGCUGCGGACUAUUGCUCCUGUUGCUCAUCAUUGGAAUUCUUUUUGGUGUCAUAAUUGCAUUUGCGACCAAUCGCUUGCUGGAUCGCGGCUUAGAGGAAACAACCACGACAAUGCGACGCGGCAGCCAAGACACCUGCACCUACCUAAAGGAUGUGUCGGACCACAUACAUCAUCUGCUCGUAAAUAACUAUGGCGAGAUGGACAAACAUCUAAGCGAUAUCUUAACAAAUGCUCAUACUCACAUAUUCCUGGACUUAAUGGAUGCUUCGGAGGCCAAUGCGGUAUAUGACUUGAAGCGCAUAUUGGAGAACAUGGAAGAGGCACAAAAGCUGAUCAAGGAGGUGGAUAAAUUGGAAAAGGAUUUACGUUUCUAUGGCACACAGCUGCGCGACGGCGUUCGUGGCGUUAAGCGCGACGUUAACUAUGCUUGUGCUGUGCUGUGCGGCAAUCGGGAAUGCCUACACUUUUUGAAAAAGACAGAGAUCGAGUUCCUCGACAAUUCAAAGUGUCUACAAUUCGAUCAGCUGCCAGACACCACGUACUAUUCAAAGGCCAUCGAGUACAUCAUUGCGAAGAACAGUGGCAAAACAACCAAGGAAGUGAUCGAUCGUCUGCAAUAUGUGGGCAAGAGGAUUAAGGCUGGCAUAGAUCCCCUAAUACCACCGAUAAUCCGUGAUAUCCACAAUGGACAGGAACAGUUCCGCACACAGGCAAACAACAUACGCAGCAUGAUAGAUGCGGCCAUUAGCGACAUUCAUUUAAAUACUGUCAGAUCCACAAAGGCGUUCGAAGAUGUUUACGACAAAUAUGGAGCUGAUCGCAGCAUCAUCAAUGUCAUUGUCUGCUCUGUGUUAUUGAUCAUUCUCCUGUUUCUAAUUAUUGCGCUGAUCUGCGGCUGUUGUGGACGUCGUCGACGUGGCUAUCGCGAUGAUUGCUGCAGCAAGGGCACGGGAGCUUCCUGUCUCCUACUCGCCAUGUUGCUGAUAUUCUGCGUGUUCUCGAUUGUCGUGCUGGUAGGCCUUUUCUACUUUGUUGUGGGUCUGGCCACCUACCAGGGUGCAUGUGCGCCGCUGCGGGAUCAGGAAUCGAAUGCGCUAUUUCGCCAGCUGAAUUCAAUUAUUGAUCUUAAUCAAUAUUUGCCAAAGAGCGAGCUCAAGUCGGAGACACCGUUGCCGCCGCUGCGCAUCUCGAAUGCGAUUCGGGCGUGUCAAGCUGACCAGUCGAUCUUCAAGCUGCUGCAGGAAAAUGAUUUAUAUGAUAUUGACGAUCUAGUACGCUUCAAGGUCAUCAGCGAAACGCCUUCGGUGCCCAUAUCGCUGGCAAAUUUGGACAACUUCACCAUACUCACGGAGAAGGACAAGCGUGACCUGGCGGAGCUGCGUGGCAGUAAUCUUUCCAGCUAUCACAGCAAGGUCUUUACAGACGUCAUGUGCACUCAGUUGACGCCCGUUGAUUUGCCCACAAUGGCCAAUCAGCUGAAGGAGUUGCGAGCCAGUCUCUGGAGUCAGUGGGGCAUUUACGACUGGGCCCGAACCUCCCUAUACAACGAGGCCUACAACCUGCAGAGAUAUCACGAUGAGUUUGUAGAGAAGAUCAAGAGCAUUAUAAGCAAAAUGACGGAGAAGCUAUUGAAGAUUGAUGAACUUAUAUUAUAUAACGGCAAUGCAUUUGGUGAAUCCAUAAAGAAGCUGCACGAAUCAACGGAACGCUCAGAAGUAUUCCUGCGGGCUAAUGGCGAACAGUAUGUCAGUGGACUGCGCGCAAAUCUGACUAGUUACAUCAAGGAACAGGUCGUGCAAUAUAUCGAAAUGGUCGUGGACAAGUGCCACGGCAACGUGGGAAAAUGUGCACCACUUGCCCAGGUCUAUAAUCGCAGUGUGGACUUGAUAUGCCAUCGUCUGGUCGAUCCAAUGAAUGGUUUCUGGGUGGGCGUGCUGCUUUGUGGCGUGCUCUUCCUGCCCGUACUGUUUGUAGCCCAUCGUUUGCUGUGCUUAUACAAGAAGAUUGAUCCGUAUUCGGCGCCACCGGUUGCCAUUGUUGAGGGCGGCAGUGACUAUCUAUACGAUGCCUAUAGCGAGCGCGAGCGCGAGCACGUGCCACUGGCCAAUGUGCCAAAGAAGCGACGCAAGGCGUACGAUCGACGACGCGAACAGCAGGAAUACUAUGAGGAUGCAUCGCCAAGCGUGUCGCGUGUGGCACGUUCCGGAGCUGGCGGUGGUCCUGGCUGCGUUGUGGAUGCAGCUGCCGGCAGCAGCAAUAUGCGCUAUAACGAUGUGGCACCCACACACUGGGACCACGAGCCGCCGCGCUACCACAAUCCGCCCGUGGCGCCGCCAUCAUCCGAAUAUGAGCGACCUCCGCCGUACUAUUAUCCGGGUGCCUCCGACCAGGAUUAAGCAUUGGACGGCGUUCAAAAAGGACUUUGUUGGGCUGGCUUUAAGAGGAGAGAUAUGGCAAAUGACGUAUGAAUUUCAUUUUUGCAACAACAACAACCCAAUUUUUACUGAGACUGUAAUUUUAGUUGAAAACGACGAUCUGCCAGCGCAAUUCGAGACAAUGAUAUAAGAGUAGGCGCGAUAUAGUAAAGAUUAGUUAUAAACAAAAGUAAAUCACAAUACUCCAUAAACAAACACAAACACAUAUAUAAUUAUAUGUAUAUUGUUUAAACACAUUGAAAAUGUUGCCAAAAGAAUAGCAUGAAAAGAGUUGAAGAGGAGGAAUAGCAAGCGAUGCGAUUGGGUUGAAAUCUAUAUGAAUAUGCACAGCUAAAGCAUUUAAUAAGUUAAUGUUCAAAACAACAACAACAAAACAAAACAAAAACAGAAACAACAAAAAGACCACAAGGAAAUAUCCCAAAAGAACUCAAGAGAUAGAUCUCACAGCUCUCACGAACUUGAAUGUAACCCAUAAUAUUAUUGUGCACAGCAAUUGCAGGCAGCCCCACAAUAAUCAAAAAAAAAUAUAUAUAUAUAUAUUAAAUUGCAGACCCG
rnacentral:misc_RNA from 1 species